AUGCACGCUGGCGGCGUGCUUAACCCCUGCCAGUCGAACGGAAAGGCUCCUGCUUGCAGGGGUACUCGAGUGGCGAACGGGUGAGUAACACGUGGGUGAUCUGCCCUGCACUUCGGGAUAAGCCUGGGAAACUGGGUCUAAUACCGGAUAGGACGAUGGUUUGGAUGCCAUUGUGGAAAGUUUUUUCGGUGUGGGAUGAGCUCGCGGCCUAUCAGCUUGUUGGUGGGGUAAUGGCCUACCAAGGCGUCGACGGGUAGCCGGCCUGAGAGGGUGUACGGCCACAUUGGGACUGAGAUACGGCCCAGACUCCUACGGGAGGCAGCAGUGGGGAAUAUUGCACAAUGGGCGCAAGCCUGAUGCAGCGACGCCGCGUGGGGGAUGACGGCCUUCGGGUUGUAAACUCCUUUCGCUAGGGACGAAGCGCAAGUGACGGUACCUGGAGAAGAAGCACCGGCUAACUACGUG
rnacentral:rRNA from 1 species